UAUCUUUGCACGCUGAUUGCUUCUCCUGAGCAUGUCGAAGGAACUGACAAUCAAUACAUAAAAAUCAUUUAAAUAAUAUUGGAAUG
rfam:Muricauda ruestringensis DSM 13258, complete genome.